CAGACUGUUGAAGAUUAACCAGCGAAAAAAAACGGCAUUGGUCUUGAACGAGUACGAGCUCGCCUCCUCUCCCUCUCGCUCAAGUCCUCGCCGUCGCCACCACCACCCACGCCGGCAGCUUCCGGCGAGCUCCGGCGCCCCGCAGCACACCCCCGAACUCCCCACGGUCCGCUCCUCCCUACCCUCCGGCCAGAUUCUCCGCUCCCGGUCUCUACCGCCCGCUCGAAACGCCACCCCCAUGGCUAGGGUUUCGGGCAGGGCUUCACCGGCGCGUCUCCGGCGGCCCAGAUGCAGAUGGAGCACGCCAUGGGAGUUCCCCAUCCACCAUGGUCGCCGCCGUCAAGGGCUUCUUCACGGAGAUGUGGAGGACGCCAUGGACCUGCAGCUCCUCAAGGUUCUAUCUUGUCCACAUCCCCUCCCCUCCCCUCCCCUUCCCGUCCCUUCCUCAUCUCGUUUCCUUCCCUUCCCACGCAGGUCAACAGGGAGGAACCCUAGCCAGCAGCACCUCCUCGGAUGACGCCUCUGCUACACCAAGAUAGAGAGAUAUAUGAUAUCUACAUGGCUGCUAUGCUACUUUUUUUGUGUGAUGAAUCAUUGUGAGUUUCGAAGAAACUUCCAAUGUUACCUCCGCCAAGUUUGCCGG